rnacentral:lncRNA from 1 species
UUUCAAAUAUUAAUUUUUAUGUAAUUCAUAUAAUUCUAGAAUGUAAGAAAAUUAAAUUUCGAUUGACACCAAAUUUGAAACAUUAACAUAAAAAUAUAUGUUAUUCUUACAAAGUAUCAAGUAUGCCACUACGACACUAUAUAAUAAUAUCAAACUUUAAGUUGUCAAACACAAAAAUACAUAUGAUUAAUUUAACAAAAAUAUAUAACAAAAAGUAACUAAAGUUAAACUUCAUCACAUCAUUUUCAUUAGUAUCCAUCUCGACAAGGAGAUACACCCAUCGACGACAGCUAUGAACGCAAACCCAACAUGGAGGAAGAUGAACGCAAAUUUAGCAGCUAGAAGAUGAACACAGACCAGAGGCGAGAAAUCAAGUUCACUGUCCUCCAUUUGAAAAAGCUAAUCCUAUUUCAACUGCCUAAACCUGGACAAAAAUCACAAAAACAUUCUUAAUGCGAUUUAUAAAUUGGGGAAUUCAAAAUAAAACAAGUACAAUACUGAUCACAAGUGAUGAAAUUGGAAUGUGUUGUUACAAUUGAAAGAAUUAAAAGUGGGACCUCAAUCAAUAGAAAAGAAAAAACAAAAUAAUUGAGGGAAACCCUAAAAAGAAGAGUAUACCACUACCGCUAUUAACAUGACAAUAAAAUAGAAAUAGAACCUCAAGGCUCAAGCUACAUCACAUGCUUAGCUCUACCAUUUCAAGAACCUGAAGUAAAUUUAAAAGAAUAGACCAUUGAUUUAAGUAAACUUGAAGAAAAAACUUACAACUAGCAUUGACAUCAUAGAACCUGAAGUAAAUUUAAAAGAAUAGACCAUUAAUUAAGUUUAAACAUCAUAACAAAGGUUUUAGUAGCAAACUAAACAAAAAUAUGGACUUAGCCAAACCAUACCACACACAUGAAACUACUACCACAACAUAAACCAAAACCCAAUAAUAAACCACUAACAGGGAGAAAGAAAACAGAACUGCCCCAAAUACAACAAAACUAAAAAUUAAAACAAUGGCAAAAAAGAUCUCAGGCAACACACACACGCCAAUCACAAUAGCAGCACAACCAAAACAUUGAGGGGGCCAACACCAAAAUAGAUCACACAUAACAUUCCUUGGUUUAGAUCAUAGAUUAAGUACAUACCUCAUAGCUAUUAUUUCUUGGUUUAGAUCAUAUCCAUGUUACAUCAGUGGUACUGCAAUUGUGAGAAUUGCAGGAACAAGACUUUCAAUAUGUCUUAUAUCACCAACAAAGACAUUCUCUACAUCACCAAUUUUCUGUUUUUUUUCUUUAUUUCUUUCCCUAAUCAGCACUUUAGCCACAUAUUUUUUGACCUUUUUCAAUNNNNNNNNNNNNNNNNNNNNNNNNNNNNNNNNNNNNNNNNNNNNNNNNNNNNNNNNNNNNNNNNNNNNNNNNNNNNNNNNNNNNNNNNNNNNNNNNNNNNNNNNNNNNNNNNNNNNNNNNNNNNNNNNNNNNNNNCAGCACUUUAGCCACAUAUUUUUUGACCUUUUUCAAUUUUUAUAAAUGAUUUGUCCUGAAAAGUUAAAACCAAUUAAUCCAUAUCAAGAAUUAUCAUAAAGUCAGAGAGAGAACAGUGUGUAACCUAAUUUGGCUUGUAUCAACAUUUUCAAUAUAAGCUUACACAGCAUAACUAUUAGACAUAACCAAGGCAAAAUAUGAAAGUAUAAAAUUAGAAGAAACAAAAAAAGCUGCAAUGAAAAGAGAGAAUUGAUUGAAUAUUUCCUAACAUAUUCAAAAGACACAAAAGUACAAAAUCCAUGAAAUAUAAUACAGUUUAUGUAUCUCAAUGCGUGUAUGAAAGGUUGUACGAAACAGAAAGAGGGUUGUAAAAAACAAUACCAAAAAUUCCAAGUUCUACAAACGCAACAACACCGUAAAUGCCGCAAACGCAGAAUUAUGACUUUAGUUGCUCAUUGAACAAACAAUUGUGACAUCGCUCAGCCAAUUAUAUUUUCUUCAAUUGCUUUUACAAUUGGUUCCUGCAAUAAUCAACACAAACUUCAAUAACCCAAAAUGAUAUACAUAAAGAUAAAGGUCCACUACAUGACAUUUAAAUUGAAACCAAAAUGAUAUAUAUGAAAAAUGGAUAUAGACCUAUAAUAAACUACAUUUAUUCAUUGAAAUUAACUGCAAAAGGUAACUUAAAUUGUUCACUGAAAAAAACUACUUACAAAACUAUCUUCAUGAAUACGCCAAAUAGUUUUGCCCAGCAGAUUCACUACGGUAAGAAUAGUUACCUGAGGGAAUAGUUGUUCUCUGCAACGGGAAUCGUGUCGGUAAUUAUCAUCUCUUAUAAAAAUAUUAUUAGUAGCUCAAUGUGUAUUUUUCAAAUUCUUUUUACCUCGCACUUGUAGGUUUGCAGCUAACAAGCAUGCCAACGAAGUCAAUUCAAACCUUAAUGUAAUCCUGGAGUAUGACCAUGAAUCUCUCCACCCUGAAGCCAAAAUACAAGAAUUUCAUGCCAAGACAUCAUCAAUACAUUGAAUGUGUUAGGUGAAAAUAAACCACUCAAAUAGUUAUCAAAUAUUAAAAAAAAAAAAAAAAAAAAAAAAAAAAAAANNNNNNNNNNNNNNNNNNNNNNNNNNAUUAUGAAUGUUGCAAUCUCACAAGAAAAGGAUGAGAAUCAAUUGUAUAAUGCACCUAUUAGUAAUACAUACAUCAUACCAAUUAAAUGGAUUAUAACAAGAACGACAACUAAAGACUCACUUCUAUAUUACCAAAAAAAAAGCAACUAACCAACUUAAAUUAUAUUAUUAAUUUCAAGAAAACCAACCAUGAAGAACUUUUAUCAAACAGUUUACGUGCACUCUAUAAAAUUCAAAAAUAAGUGAAAAAGCUUACCUCAAACGAUUCUUUGCUUGUUGUUACUCCCUUCCUUUAACAAUCAACCACCACUACAUGCACUUAUUCAUCUAACGAGUCCUACAAAGAACACAAUCUUUUUACUGACAAAAUAGUUCACUCAUAUGAAGAAGGAAACCCUAAGUAGAGAAAUUGUUUGAAACCCUAAGUUGAAAGUGAAAUGAAAAUUAGGGUUCGAAAUUUUUUGAAACUAAAUAAAUCAGAUUGAAAGUGAAAUGAAAAUUGGGGUUCGAAAUUAAGGUUUAACGAAACCGAAACAUUACCUGGUGUGAGAUGCGAGUCUUCACAAACUGAGGCCAGAGAAGUGGCGGAUAGUUUCGCCAGCGGGACAGAGGAAGAGAAGCCCUGUUUUCUCAGAUGGCAGACGAUUUCUCCGACAGCGGACACGGUGGGUGACAGACGAUUUCUCGUUUUCUCUUUUCUUUGGGAAGCAAUUAAAAAAGGGAGAGAGGUUACAAAAUUUAGAAAGAAAAAAAAAAGCGGCAGACGGAAAAAAAUGAAUGAAUGAAUGAAAAAAUAAAAGCGCCUCAGGAAAAACUAGAGCGGGAGUUUUUUUUAUUUUUUUGAUAGCUGAGCGGGAGUUGUUUCUUCUCUACUUGUUUAUUUUCCCAAAUUUAAAAAAAUAUAAAAAAAUAUAUAAAAUAAAUACAAUAAAAUUAUAAUAUGCUUAAAAAUAUUUUUUAAAAAUAUAUAGAAAUAAUAUAAGGUAAAUACAAUAAACAGAUGAUAUGCUUAAAAAUAGGGAAACAACCGAUUAUAAAUAGGAUUUAAACAAACCCACUAGGGGUUGGUCUAGUCGUGUUGGCUUGGGUCCUUGGAGUAUU